rnacentral:misc_RNA from 1 species
AACCAUAGAAACCUGCGGAGUACCUGCGGAGGGAUCAUUACCGAGUGAGGGCCCUCCGGGUCCAACCUCCCACCCGUGUUUAACGAACCUUGUUGCUUCGGCGGGCCCGCCUCACGGCCGCCGGGGGGCACCCCGCCCCCGGGCCCGCGCCCGCCGAAGACACCUGUGAACGCUGUCUGAAGUUGCAGUCUGAGACACUAGCUCAAUCAGUUAAAACUUUCAACAACGGAUCUCAGAUCG